rnacentral:lncRNA from 1 species
GAAAGUAGGUUGUUGAAAGAGGAAGAACUGCGAAAAGAGGAAGUCCAAACUCUGCAAGCUGAACUCGCUUGUAGACAAACAGAAGUUAAAGCAUUGAGUACCCAGGUAGAAGAAUUAAAAGAUGAGUUAGUAACUCAGAGACGUAAACAUGCCUCUAGUAUCAAGGAUCUCACCAAACAACUUCAGCAAGGCUACCGGCAUCUAGGGUGCAGAUACCCGAGAUGCGUCCUCUGACUUGGAAAUCGUUGCGACUUAACUCUUCACCUGGGUUUCAAGAAACAGACCCCAGAAAGUUAUAAAUUACCCAGACAUAACAAUUGACUGCUGAACUGGAUUCCAGAUUUCUUUCUUUUAAAAAGUCAUACAGUCAUUGGGUGUCUGUGCUAUAUGCUUGGGAUACAAAAAUAAAUAAGACACGUAUUUCAACCUCCUAUUCUCUACUAUUUCUCACGGCUUUAUUUGUGUUAAAAUAGGGUGAAAUAUAGUAAUAAGCUAAAAGGGACUUAGCAUUUACUUAAUACAAAUAUAUUCAGAUAUUUGCCAUAGAGUUUAGUUUGUUUUUAUAGAUGUAAUUGAAGGGAAAUUUGGAAGAAAUUUCUGGUACUGUAAGGAACUUCUAAAUCUUUCAAUACUUUAAAAAGUUAACUCCACUGUAAUUAAG